UGGCUGUCCGAGUUGUAGUCUGGAGAAGUGCUAUCUGYGUCRGACCGUGUACAAGUCUCCUGGAAUGGAGCGUCAUAGAGGGUGAGAAUCCCGUCCAUGACACGGACGCCUGAUGCUUUGUGAGGCACUCUCAAAGAGUCGAGUUGUUUGGGAAUGCAGCUCAAAAUGGGUGGUAAAUUCCAUCUAAAGCUAAAUAUUGGCGAGAGACCGAUAGUGAACAAGUACCGUGAGGGAAAGAUGAAAAGCACUUUGAAAAGAGAGUUAAACAGUACGUGAAAUUGUUGAAAGGGAAACGCUUGAAGUCAGUCGCGUCUYAUGAAACUCAGCCUUGCUUCGGCUUGGUGUACUUUUCUAGGGAUGGGUCAACAUCAGUUUUGGUCAGUGGAAAAAGAUAGAGGAAAUGURGCGCUAUUUYGGUGGCGUGUUAUAGCCCUUUGUUGAAUACACUGACUGGGACUGAGGAACUACAGCAUGCCCUUGUGGCCGGGGGUUC
rnacentral:rRNA from 1 species